GCAAUGGCAUAAGCCAGCUUGACUGCGAGCGUGACGGCGCGAGCAGGUGCGAAAGCAGGUCAUAGUGAUCCGGUGGUUCUGAAUGGAAGGGCCAUCGCUCAACGGAUAAAAGGUACUCCGGGGAUAACAGGCUGAUACCGCCCAAGAGUUCAUAUCGACGGCGGUGUUUGGCACCUCGAUGUCGGCUCAUCACAUCCUGGGGCUGAAGUAGGUCCCAAGGGUAUGGCUGUUCGCCAUUUAAAGUGGUACGCGAGCUGGGUUUAGAACGUCGUGAGACAGUUCGGUCCCUAUCUGCCGUGGGCGCUGGAGAACUGAGGGGGGCUGCUCCUAGUACGAGAGGACCGGAGUGGACGCAUCACUGGUGUUCGGGUUGUCAUGCCAAUGGCACUGCCCGGUAGCUAAAUGCGGAAGAGAUAAGUGCUGAAAGCAUCUAAGCACGAAACUUGCCCCGAGAUGAGUUCUCCCUGAGACUUUAGGUCUCCUGAAGGAACGUUGAAGACGACGACGUUGAUAGGCCGGGUGUGUAAGCGCAGCGAUGCGUUGAGCUAACCGGUACUAAUGAACCGUGAGGCUUAACCUUACA
rnacentral:rRNA from 1 species